GUCAGUACCAUUUUGCAGGUAGGUUGUGGCAUUAAAACAAUGCUCUUUUGUUACUAAGGGGUCCUGCCCAUGUCCAAAUGCACAUUUCUAUGUUGUUUACACCAGAUUUUGAGCCUACUAUCUGAAUGUUGAAGCAGAAAUCAAGACCAGGGUAUUUCCUGUUCCAAGUUGACUGGAGUGGCACCCUGUGUGGUGUUUAAACUUCAGUAUGUGUAGUGUGCAUAGUGUUAAGCUCUUCCACAUACCUUGGUUGAAAUGAGUAGUUAUUUGAGAUGCUGUUGCUUGUUUAUCAGCUUGAACAAGUCUGGCCAUUCUCCUCUGAUGUGUGGCACGAACAAGACCAAAGUCACUUAAAUCACCUUUCUUCCAUCUUGAGCUGUUGCUGAUUAGAUAUUUGCCUUAACAAGUAAUAUAACUUGACAACACACCCCUUCACGUUUACACUGUGUCCCUUCCUGUUUGUGGAAGCUACACAUGCUGAUAAAACGAGAAGUGAGAGCAGUGGAGAGGAUCGUAGGUGUUUCUUUUCCCUCCCUCCAGGACACCUAUUGCACCCGCUUUAGACUUUUAUUUUAUUUUUAGCUUUUUAUCUUUAUGUUGUUUUAGUGUACACUGAGGGCCGUGGGAGCAUUGCAAUUUAAAAUUCCUGUGGAUGAUCUGUACACGUUUUUUUUUUUUUUUUAAAUAAAGCUGACUUUGACUUUGAUUACAGUGAGAGCAAAACUGUGAAUACAGUGAUGAAAAUGGUCAGUACUUUCAAGAAUGGUGUGUAUAUAGCUUUAAUAUUUAGAUAUAUUAUUAACAAAUCGCACAAUAACAGUGGCGUUGUUCACACUAAUCUCCAAAAUCUUUUGCUAAAUAACUAAAGAAUCUAUUCAUGUAAUGAGCUGCAGCGUCUUGUUUCAAUAGUCCAUGAUGGAGUAUUUCAUUAAAAUCCAAAUGGUAGUGGUAAAUGGACUUGCCUCAUUCACAAAAGCACUUUUUCUAAACUCUUGCUAUUUAUCAUCUGAUAGAAGCAUUGGAGACCUGGGGCCUGUUCUUCGUACCUCGCUAAGUAAGUUAGCUGGAUUAGAUUGUUGACGAUUUCGCGUGAUCCUGGAUCAUUCGGUUCCCCGAAGCUCAUCCGGGACUUGCUGUCAUAGCAACAGAGCCGUAAGCGUAAACCUGCUCGGGAGCAGGUUUACUUUAUGUAAACAGGAUUAGAUCGCGGCCACGCAGGUAUGUCCGCUUCAUUUAUACGAAAG
ensembl:lncRNA